UACGUAGGGCGCAAGCGUUGUCCGGAAUUAUUGGGCGUAAAGAGCUCGUAGGCGGUCUGUCACGUCGGAUGUGAAAGCCCGGGGCUUAACCCCGGGUCUGCAUUCGAUACGGGCAGACUAGAGUGUGGUAGGGGAGAUCGGAAUUCCUGGUGUAGCGGUGAAAUGCGCAGAUAUCAGGAGGAACACCGGUGGCGAAGGCGGAUCUCUGGGCCAUUACUGACGCUGAGGAGCGAAAGCCUGGGGAGCGAACAGG
rnacentral:rRNA from 1 species